GCGACGCAAGACGUGAGUCCGUGCGUGCGUGCUCGCUCACGGCGGCGGCGGCGGAGCGGAGAGACCAGAGCCGGAGACCGAGCUGGGAUCGGGCCCCGGGCGGGGGCGGUGCGAGCGGCGCCAAGCAGAUCUUAGGGGCGGGGACGGAGCCGGGGCGGGCGGGACUGAAGCGGAGCCCGGGAACGGGGCGGGAGGUCCCAGGGUCCCGGGUUGGGGGUGUGGAGCAGCACUUCGUCGCCGCGGGGGUGCCGGGACUCCGGCCGCAGUGCCGCCGCCAUCACGGACUUCCUGUGGGACAAGCGCACGGGCCUCGCCGCCAGAACGAUGCCUCAUCCUCGAAGGUACCAUUCCUCAGAGCGAGGCAGCCGGGAGAGUUACCGUGAACACUAUCGGAGCCGAAAGCAUAAGCGACGAAGAAGUCGCUCCUGGUCAAGUAGUAGUGACCGGACACGACGGCGCCGGCGAGAGGACAGCUACCAUGUCCGUUCUCGAAGCAGUUACGAUGAUCGUUCAUCCGACCGGAGGGUGUAUGACCGGCGAUACUGUGGCAGCUACAGACGCAAUGAUUAUAGCCGGGAUCGGGGAGAUGCCUACUGUGACACAGACUAUCGGCAUUCCUAUGAAUAUCAGCGGGAAAACAGCAGUUACCGCAGCCAGCGCAGCAGCCGGAGGAAGCACAGACGGCGGAGGAGGCGCAGCCGGACAUUUAGCCGCUCAUCUUCGCAGCACAGCAGCCGGAGAGCCAAGAGUGUAGAGGACGACGCUGAGGGCCACCUCAUCUACCACGUCGGGGACUGGCUACAAGAGCGAUAUGAAAUCGUUAGCACCUUAGGAGAGGGAACCUUCGGCCGAGUUGUACAAUGUGUUGACCAUCGCAGGGGUGGGGCUCGAGUUGCCCUGAAGAUCAUUAAGAAUGUGGAGAAGUACAAGGAAGCAGCUCGACUUGAGAUCAACGUGCUGGAGAAAAUAAACGAGAAAGACCCUGACAACAAGAACCUCUGUGUCCAGAUGUUUGACUGGUUUGACUACCAUGGCCACAUGUGUAUCUCCUUUGAGCUUCUGGGCCUUAGCACCUUCGAUUUCCUCAAAGACAACAACUACCUGCCCUACCCCAUCCACCAAGUGCGCCACAUGGCCUUCCAGCUGUGCCAGGCUGUCAAGUUCCUCCAUGAUAACAAGCUGACACAUACAGACCUCAAGCCUGAAAAUAUUCUGUUUGUGAAUUCAGACUAUGAGCUCACCUACAACCUAGAGAAGAAGCGAGAUGAGCGCAGUGUGAAGAGCACAGCUGUGCGGGUGGUAGACUUUGGCAGUGCCACCUUUGACCAUGAGCACCAUAGCACCAUUGUCUCCACUCGCCAUUACCGAGCACCAGAGGUCAUCCUUGAGUUGGGCUGGUCACAGCCUUGUGAUGUGUGGAGUAUAGGCUGCAUCAUCUUUGAGUACUAUGUGGGAUUCACCCUCUUCCAGACCCAUGACAACAGAGAGCAUCUAGCCAUGAUGGAAAGGAUAUUGGGUCCUAUCCCUUCCCGGAUGAUCCGAAAGACAAGAAAGCAGAAAUAUUUUUACCGGGGUCGCCUGGAUUGGGAUGAGAACACAUCAGCUGGGCGCUAUGUUCGUGAGAACUGCAAACCGCUGCGGGUCAGACAGAAAAGAAUAAACUACCUUUGAAGAGCUUACAUUUUAAUGAGGAACUAAAGAAGAUUCAUGAAGUUGACAAGGAUAUACAAGUAGAAAGAACUUUCAAAGAUUAUGGAGUAAUUGUGCUAGUGGGAAGCGGUAUCUGACCUCAGAGGCAGAGGAACACCACCAGCUCUUCGAUCUGAUUGAAAGCAUGCUAGAGUAUGAACCAGCUAAGCGGCUGACCUUGGGUGAAGCCCUUCAGCAUCCUUUCUUCACCCGUCUUCGGGCUGAGCCACCCAACAAGUUGUGGGACUCCAGUCGGGAUAUCAGUCGGUGACGAUCAGGCCCUGGGCCCCCCCUGCAUCUUUUAUAGCAGUGGGUGUCCAGUCCAGGACACUGGUGCUUUUUUAUACAAGAGAACGAGCCAGAGUUCACUCCUUCCUCCUGGCUGUCUAUAUACCUGUGAAUAUGUGAAAUAGUGUAAAUAUGAAAGAACUUGUACCUAUCACUUCAACCCCUGCCUUGUACAUAAUGCUCUUCCAUCUACACAGUUUCCACCCUCACCUGCCCCCUCAUACGGAGUUGGAUGGGGACCGAGUGAGGUAACCAGGUGGCAUCUACCCAAUGUUUUAUAAGGAAUUUUGUACAGUCUUUGUGAAAUAAAAUAACGUGCUUCAUUUGACCCCCA